rnacentral:rRNA from 1 species
ACGUAGGGACCAAGCGUUGUUCGGAGUUACUGGGCGUAAAGGGUGCGUAGGCGGUCCCUUAAGUUUGGUGUGAAAUCUCCCGGCUCAACUGGGAGGGUGCGCCGGAUACUGAGGGGCUAGAGUGCGGGAGAGGAAAGUGGAAUUCCUGGUGUAGCGGUGAAAUGCGUAGAUAUCAGGAGGAACACCGGUGGUGUAAACGGCUUUCUGGACCGUAACUGACGCUGAGGCACGAAAGCGUGGGGAGCAAACAGGA